rnacentral:lncRNA from 1 species
CUCUUAGCAAGGUGUCGUGGAGAGCUGGAUUUCCAAGAAGGACCUCAGAGCUGGAAAGGCCCUGGAUCUUGCAUGUGGCUUUUCUUCAAUGAUAAAGGCAGCCCGUGACGGGCAAGGAGAGGUGGUGCCAGAAAUGGUAGACUGCGUGGAAGUCUAAGACCCAGGGCUGAAGCUUGUCAGAAACACAGAGAAGGCUUGGGAGCAGGGAAAGGGCUUGGAGGAGACGUCGGUCAGGGGGAAAUACGCAGCUCAAUGCAAGAAGCCACAUUUAAGACUGCGCAUCUCAAUGCCUGAAGUAAAAACCACGGUCACAAGGGAUGUGUGUGGAAUGGAAGAACACUGGAAAAACAAGAACCUGACCUAAAUGGAUGGCCAAAUACCGCAGCUGCACAUGCAGGGUAAGCCUAUCGAUGUGCUGUGCACAUCACCCUGCCCAUCUUCCAGGGGCUU